rnacentral:rRNA from 1 species
UUAAAUGUUCUUCGUGAACAUAGCGAACUGCUCAGUAACACGUGGAUAACCUACCCUUAGGACCGGAAUAACCCCGGGAAACUGGGGAUAAUACCGGAUAAGCCAUAGACGCUGGAAUGCACUAUGGUUCAAAGCUCCGGCGCCUAAGGAUGGAUCUGCGGUCUAUCAGGUUGUAGUGGGUGUAACGUACCUACUAGCCGACGACGGAUACGGGUUGUGAGAGCAAGAGCCCGGAGAUGGAUUCUGAGACACGAAUCCAGGCCCUACGGGGUGCAGCAGGCGCGAACACUUUACAAUGCGGGAAACCGCGAUAAGGGAACCCCGAGUGCCAGCAUCAAAUGUUGGCUGUCCAGAUGAUUAAAAAUCAUUUGUUAGCAAGGGCCGGGCAAGACCGGUGCCAGCCGCCGCGGUAACACCGGCGGCCCGAGUGGUAGCCGUUUUUAUUGGGUCUAAAGGGUCCGUAGCCGGCCUGAUAAGUCCUUUGGGAAAUCUGGCAGCUUAACUGUCAGGCUUCUAAGGGAUACUGUCAGGCUUGGGACCGGAAGAGGUAAGGGGUACUCCAGGGGUAGGAGUGAAAUCUUGUAAUCCCUGGGGGACCAUCUGUGGCGAAGGCGCCUUACCAGAACGGGUCCGACGGUGAGGGACGAAAGCUAGGGGAGCAAACCGGAUUAGAUACCCGGGUAGUCCUAGCUGUAAACGAUGCUCGCUAGGUGUCAGACACGGUGCGACCGUGUUUGGUGCCGCAGGGAAGCCGUUAAGCGAGCCACCUGGGAAGUACGGUCGCAAGGCUGAAACUUAAA